GUUUAGAUCGUGCGCCGCCAUUACUGCAUAACGUCAUGUCAACCGUGCGUGUGUAGUCAAGACUCAAAAUUGUUCAACCCUUAUUAAUUGUAUUAUAUUGAUUGAUUUCGUCUUUAAAACAUUUUUUAAUUUAGUUGACACGGUGCUAUAGACUAUUCACAACAAGUUUUAACGAUAAGUAUAUUACAAUGUCCGAAACUGAAGAUCAACAGCAAAAGGCUGCGAAGACGAGCAAACAGCACAACGUACUACCAAUAUGGGGUAGUCAGGAAACCAUGAAUUUGAACCAUUUAAUAUUAGCUAAUAUUCAGGGUUCGAGUUACUUCAAAGUUCACUUGUUCAAGCUGAAGACCUACCAUGAGGUGGUGGACGAGAUCUACUACCAAGUGAAGCACCUGGAGCCCUGGGAGCGGGGCAGCAGGAAGACCGCUGGCCAGACGGGCAUGUGCGGCGGUGUUCGCGGCGUGGGCGCCGGCGGCAUCGUCUCAACCGCCUUCUGUCUCCUAUACAAGCUGUACACCCUGCGUCUCACCAGGAAGCAGGUCAACGGGCUGCUGCAGCAUACAGACUCACCGUAUAUUAGAGCGCUGGGCUUCAUGUACAUCCGCUACACGCAACCCCCGGCCGACCUAUUCGACUGGUUCGCCGAGUACCUUGACGACGAGGAGGAGAUUGACCCUCGCGCCGGCGGUGGCGGUACCACGACCAUAGGGGCCCUGGUCAGACAAAUGUUGAUCAAACUUGACUGGUUUAACACGCUUUUCCCGAGGAUACCAGUGUCUAUACAGAAGCAGAUGGAGCUCAAGUAAGUUUAUGUUCUUUCAAGGUCGGUACCACGACCAUAGGGGCCCUGGUCAGACAAAUGUUGAUCAAACUUGACUGGUUUAACACGCUUUUCCCGAGGAUACCAGUGUCUAUACAGAAGCAGAUGGAGCUCAAGUAAGUUUAUGUUCUUUCAAGGUCGGUACCACGACCAUAGGGGCCCUGGUCAGACAGAUGCUGAUCAAACUUGACUGGUUUAACACGCUUUUCCCGAGGAUACCAGUGUCUAUACAGAAGCAGAUGGAGCUCAAGUUAGGAGAACACAACAGGAACACAGCGCCAGCCAAGCCGGUGGCGCGGGCCUACAACCCGGGCAGGGCGGAGCCCGACCGGCGCGACCACGACGACCGCGACCGCCGGGAUUACGGCGACGACAGAUCAAAAGAGAGACAACGAGAGCCUCCAAAGCGCGACGACAGAUCGCGAGAACACGACCGCACGCGCGACCGCGAUCGGGAGCGGGACCGUGACCGCGACCGCGACCGGCGCGACCGCGACAGGGAGCGCGACCGCCGCGACAGGGACCGGGACCGCAGAGACCGUGACCGCCACAGGUCGCGGUCGCGCGACCGCAGAUAUAGAUAACGUGUAAAGAAUAAAGAGUAAUUGAUAAUGUUUUA